rnacentral:rRNA from 1 species
UACGAAGGGUGCAAGCGUUACUCGGAAUUACUGGGCGUAAAGCGCACGUAGGCGGGCUCUUAAGUCGGUGGUGAAAUCCUGGAGCUCAACUCCAGAACUGCCUUCGAUACUGAGAGUCUCGAGUCCGGGAGAGGUGAGUGGAACUGCGAGUGUAGAGGUGAAAUUCGUAGAUAUUCGCAAGAACACCAGUGGCGAAGGCGGCUCACUGGCCCGGUACUGACGCUGAGGUGCGAAAGCGUGGGGAGCAAACAGG